rnacentral:other from 1 species
UUCCCUGCGAAGUUCGAGCGAAUAGAAAUUUUAGAACCUACAAGUUUGGAUAAGGGAGCCGAUUCUCUAAAUAUGGCGUGUAUGCUUACAUUAAUGUAAGAAACCCAGGAAUAUUUAGGUAGGCACCCACCUGUUUACGUACAGGUCCUAUAAAAUUUUUAUCAUCAAUACGGCUGAGCGGGGCCU